GUGGAGUCUAGCAGGAGGGUUCCCUAGCUCUUUCCUAUUGUUAGAUUUGGUUUUCAAUCCCCUUGAAGCAUUGUGUUCUUGAUCCAGUGAGGAAAGGUUUUUGUAGGUCUGAACUGUUGCUGUCUCUAAGCCAUCAUUUAGGAAGACUGUCAUGUUAAGAGAUAUUGGAAAAGAUUUCUUUUAGAACACAGAAUUUUAACUGGAACAUAAAGAAACCAGAGGAGCCAGGUGACAGAGAUGAGGAAGGAGAGAGUUCUAGGAAUGGAGGGCAGUCAAUAAAAUGUCUAAGUAGUUAAGUGGAGUGUCCCUUAUGAGGAACAGCAAGGAGGAGCAAGGCUGAAGAAGUACUUGGCUUUUACCCUCCUUUACCUGGCUGAACUGAAAAGAGUCUUGCCCAGUGCAGAUUCCAGAUGGUAUAUAUCUGUUUUUCCCUCAGAGUAAGUGGACUUUAUUUUCUUUGAAGAGACUUUGAAUUGAAGCCUUCAACCAGAGAUAGGGGUUAUAGCUAGGGAAAUUCCUCUCCCUUUCUCCUUUUAUUUCCUUAUCCCCCCCCCAAAUUAGACCUUUAACUAUAAAAAAUUGUCUUCAAACUUUGUAAUAGGAGGGAGAAUUUAAAAUAUUCAAAGGAGAAGUUUUGGGGAGGGGUGAAUGUUAGUCUGUUAGGUACAGACUCCAUUAGGGCUGUCCAGCAGAGAGAGGGAACAAGAAGAAAGGUGCUUAUUUGAAUUCAGUCCCCUACCUCAACCUGCUUCCUGUGGUCCCCCUCUCUCAGUAUUCCUCAUUGAUACAGAGAAGACAACUUAAGUAAGGGUGUAUAUGUAUGUGUAUGUGUGUGUGUGUGCAUGUGCGCACACAUGUGAAAUAAUCAGACAUAGACUUUAAAAAGAUCAUUUUUCUAUCCAAAUGAAGGAUCAACCCUAGUGUGAAGAGAUUUCAGUUCAGGAUACUAACUAGUAGGCUUCCUGACACCAGUUAUCCAUGAGUUACAUAAUGAGAGUCUGUACCCCAGUGGUAUCAGUGUCAGAGCACAAAAGAAUGUAGUAGAAAUGUUAGAAGAAUGAAUUGACAGAAUUUUGGAGCAGAUUAAAUAUGGAGAAGAAUGAUAGGAAUUUAGAAUAAUAUUUAGAUUGUGAACUUGGGUCACA
rnacentral:lncRNA from 1 species